UGGGGAAUAUUGGACAAUGGGCGCAAGCCUGAUCCAGCAAUGCCGCGUGCGUGAAGAAGGCCUUAGGGUUGUAAAGCGCUUUCACCCGUGAAGAUGAUGACGGUAGCGGGAGAAGAAGCCCCGGCUAACUCCGUGCCAGCAGCCGCGGUAAUACGGAGGGGGCGAGCGUUGUUCGGAAUUACUGGGCGUAAAGGGCGCGUAGGCGGCGUGCCAAGUCGGAUGUGAAAGCCCCGGGCUCAACCCGGGAUGUGCAUUCGAUACUGGCAGGCUCGAGUCCGGGAGAGGAUGGCGGAAUUCCCAGUGUAGAGGUGAAAUUCGUAGAUAUUGGGAAGAACACCGGUGGCGAAGGCGGCCAUCUGGACCGGCACUGACGCUGAGGCGCGAAAGCGUGGGGAGCAAACAGG
rnacentral:rRNA from 1 species